rnacentral:rRNA from 1 species
UAGGGAAUAUUGGACAAUGGGCGAAAGCCUGAUCCAGCCAUGCCGCGUGAGUGAUGAAGGCAUUAGGGUUGUAAAGCUCUUUCAGCGGGGAAGAUAAUGACGGUACCCGCAGAAGAAGCCCCGGCUAACUUCGUGCCAGCAGCCGCGGUAAUACGAAGGGGGCUAGCGUUGCUCGGAAUCACUGGGCGUAAAGCGCACGUAGGCGGCUUUCUAAGUCAGGGGUGAAAUCCUGGAGCUCAACUCCAGAACUGCCUUUGAUACUGGAAAGCUUGAGUUCGGGAGAGGUGAGUGGAACUGCGAGUGUAGAGGUGAAAUUCGUAGAUAUUCGCAAGAACACCAGUGGCGAAGGCGGCUCACUGGCCCGAUACUGACGCUGAGGUGCGAAAGCGUGGGGAGCAAAC